rnacentral:lncRNA from 1 species
UAAAAAUGUUAAAAAAAUAAACUUGAGAUGCAAUAAUAUUCUUUAAAAAAUUGGCAUAAGCUAAUAAUUAUUUAGGGUAAGAAAGGUUUUGAUAAGAAAUAGUCUUGCAAAAGUUUUCAACUUACAAAGACAAGAAAACAAAAUGUGAAGCAGUAUUCAAAGAAUAAUAUAUUUUAGUUAUAGACACAACUAGGUUAUCUGUAAUGCAAUUUUUUAUAUUCAAGAGAUAAAUAAACUCUUCAAGCAAUUAUAAUAUAGUCCUCUAUGCCUUAUAUAUCAAUUUAAGUGAAAAUAUUCAUUGACUCUAUUCAACAAGAUCUACUAUGUGUGCAAUCUUGUGUAUAAAAAUAUACAUUUUCUUGUAAUUUAUCUAUGAAAAAAAAAAAAACAUUACAUAUAUAUAUAUAUAUAUAUAUAUAUAUUCUUCUUUUGUGGAAUUAUUUUCAAUUUUGAAAUACAAAAAACUAACAUCACACAAUUUUUGUAGUUUUAUUUCUAUGCUUUACAAAGCAAUUUGAACUUGCUUACUUCUUUUAACAUGCACUAAAAUUCAAAGUUUUUACAAGUCUUUACUCUAGAGUCAUUCAAUAAAUAAUACUAAAACUACUUUAAUUUUUUGUUUACAGAAUUUAAAUUUCAAAUUUAAAUUUGUAAAUUUACAAACUUGAUAUUUUCGGUAUAUAUAUAUAUAUUUAAAAUCUAAGAACAAAUGAAUGCGAUUUUGUAAGCAUAACAUAAGAAUGAUAACGAAAAAAAUUCUUCUCUUAUACUGUUUCAAUACUCAAUUGUAGCUUUUAAAUUUGCCUUGAAUUUCCAUUGAACGAUUUCAUCUCUGAUCUUCUUGCUGAAAUAUUAUGUUGAAAUAGAACUUGAAAUUUAUUAUUAUUUAAUGUUUAAAAAUAUAUAUAUAAAUUUGAAAAUUCAUUACCAAGUACUGAAGAUUUAUAUGUGGUAUUUAUAAUUUAAAGAUACUACUUCAAAUCUAAUUUUUUAAUCUUAAUACAAAAUAGUUAUAUAAAACACAUUUCAAAGGUUUUAAAUGAAUUUUUUAAAUCACCAAAAUAUAAUGUUGUUGUUGAAUUCUCGUAAUGUUAUACUAUAGAUAUUAAACUGUAAUUUCUCAUAUUAGGUCAAAGAAAAAAUAUUGAAUCUUUAAUUAGAUUGAAUUAUUCUUAAAAUAAUAAAAUACUCUCUAAAACAAUAACAUCUUAAAUUAGAAAAUGAUUAUUAUACAUCUUUGAUAAAAUAUCAUAGUGUACAAUUAAUUUUCUAAAAUCACAAAGAAUUUUAAUAUCAACAUAUAUAAAUACUUUUGAAACUCUUAAAUUUUUUUGAUUUUUUUAUAAGGUUUUUUAAAAGAUACCUAAACAUUAUAAAAGAAUCUGAAAGAAUUUCACAUGCCAAAAUAGUCACCAAAUUUCUAUCAAAAUACAC